UCGCUACUACCGAUUGAAUGGCUUAGUGAGCCUGAGGGAUUGAUGCAGUUUGUGGGAUUUCCUACUUUCAGUAUCGAGAACUCAGUCAAACUUGAUCAUUUAGAGGAAGUAA
rnacentral:rRNA from 1 species